CCUACGGGUGGCAGCAGUGAGGAAUAUUGGUCAAUGGGCGCUAGCCUGAACCAGCCAAGUAGCGUGAAGGAUGACUGCCCUAUGGGUUGUAAACUUCUUUUAUAUGGGAAUAAAGUGCAGCAUGUAUACGGUUUUGUAUGUACCUUAUGAAUAAGGAUCGGCUAACUCCGUGCCAGCAGCCGCGGUAAUACGGAGGAUCCGAGCGUUAUCCGGAUUUAUUGGGUUUAAAGGGAGCGUAGGUGGAUUGUUAAGUCAGUUGUGAAAGUUUGCGGCUCAACCGUAAAAUUGCAGUUGAUACUGGCAGCCUUGAGUACAGUAGAGGUGGGCGGAAUUCGUGGUGUAGCGGUGAAAUGCUUAGAUAUCACGAAGAACUCCGAUUGCGAAGGCAGCUUGCUGGACUGUAACUGACACUGAUGCUCGAAAGUGUGGGUAUCAAACAGGAUUAGAUACCCUUGUAGUC
rnacentral:rRNA from 1 species